UUAGCAUCUCUAAUGUUUGUAAAGAACCUGUUUACACUAAGUUGUGAUUUUUUUUAUUUAUUGUGAUUUUUAUCGUUAUCGUGAUUAAUACCAGGAAUUAUCAAGAUAAUUUUUUUGUCAUUAUCUCCAUCUCUAGUAGCCACCAGUCCAAAUGUUUGGUUAGCUUAGCACAUAGCCACCAGUUCAUACAUUUUGUUAGCUUAGCAUGUAGCCCCCAGUCCACAUGUUUGUGUUUGUAGCAUACCUGUGGGGGUAAGCUACAAAUCUAGAUGACCUCUUAUCGCGCUAACUUUGGGGAUUGAAUCAGUGUGUGUUGGACUACUAUGAUCACUAAACCUGGAGGUAUUUGAUCAAAGUGUUCUCAGUAGAACCAGACUUAUGGCUUAAACCUGGUUCAGCUAAGCCAUCUGUGACCACGCCCCCUUUUACCAUUUCAUCAAACUCUUCUCAGCUCAGCCAAUCAGCUGACAGUGUUUAGAUUAAGUGAACGUCCUCAUCAGACCCACUAGAUCGAUCACAGAUUUAAUGAUUAGAGAGUGACGGAGCAUGUGCUGCAGCUUUUACAAUGAAUGAGAAGCCAAUAGGAACCAAUGCUGAGACCAACAGGAAGUGACAUCAUCUGUUACUGAGCAGUGACAAUAAAUGAUGGACGCAUAAAAAAAAGGACAAACUGUGGUUUGAACAUUUUAAAAGUAUUAAAUGGUUAAAGAAUGUGUUAUUUAGUUAAUUUAUCAUGGAAAACAACUGAUCAUGUGAUCACACACUGAUCAUGUGAUCACACACUGAUCAUGUGAUCACACACUGAUCGUUUGAUAAGUGUUUUAACACCUGUCAGUGUUUAAUAAAAGAGAUGAUGUAACUCAUUAUUAAAUAAUAUGUAAUUAAUGAGACUAAUGAGUGUUUGAUCAAUAGUUUGAUGAACUCACCACUAAAUGAACAGCAGGAGCAGCAGUGGUUCUGUUGGAUGUUGUUGGAUGUCACAUCCAACACUGUAGACGCUGCAGCUGUGGCUCCACCUCCACCCCCCUCAUAGACCCCGCCCACUCUAACCACAGCUGAUUUCAUGUUUCAAUGGACUUUAUUAUUAUUAAAUCAUUGCUUAAUUAUACUUUUAUAUGCUUCAUACACAGUUUUUAGUCCCUUCCUGCUCUGAUGAUAAAAAAGGAGUCAUUAAAUAGUUAGGGAACACUAUUUCUCAGUGAACCAUUGUUCCAUCAUUCUUACCAAACGUUCAGUUGAGAACAUUUAACUCUUACACAUUCUGUCAUACUUUACCUAGUUUCUUAUUUAAUUACAUCACUACUCACUUAGUGACUUGCUUGCUUACUUAUUUACCUGGUUAAUUAGCUACAACGUUAGCUUUUAGCUCAGUUAGUUACUUAGUUAUGGUAGUCACCCAGUUACUGGUGUAUUUACAUGCUUACUUUCAUACUUAUUUCCCUGAUUUACUAGUUAUUGUAUUUGACAAUUGAAAAUUGCCAAAUACAUUUUUCUCAUAAGAGUUGUUUUUAUUAUUUUAUUACUUAUUUUAGCAGUUAAUGCCUCUUUUAGUCCUGUCUUUUAAUAUAUGUUGUGUUUUAUUUAUUUAUUAAUCCUGUAGCACUUUGAGAUUUGGCAUCAAAUGUAAAGUGCAUUACAAAUAAAAUGUAUUAUUAUUAUUACUUUUAUGUGUAA
ensembl:lncRNA